GUUAGCGGCGGACGGGUGAGUAACACGUGGGCAACCUGCCUGUAAGACUGGGAUAACACCGGGAAACCGGUGCUAAUACCGGAUAAUCCUUUUCCUCUCAUGAGGAAAAGCUGAAAGUCGGUUUCGGCUGACACUUACAGAUGGGCCCGCGGCGCAUUAGCUAGUUGGUGAGGUAACGGCUCACCAAGGCGACGAUGCGUAGCCGACCUGAGAGGGUGAUCGGCCACACUGGGACUGAGACACGGCCCAGACUCCUACGGGAGGCAGCAGUAGGGAAUCUUCCACAAUGGACGAAAGUCUGAUGGAGCAACGCCGCGUGAGCGAUGAAGGCCUUCGGGUCGUAAAG
rnacentral:rRNA from 1 species